GAUGAACGCUGGCGGCGUGCCUAAUACAUGCAAGUCGAGCGAAGCGGGGACGGGGGAGUAACAUGUGGAUAACCUCCUAUAAGACUGGGAUAAACUCGGGAAACAGGAGCUAAACCGGAUACUUAGAGAUGGAUGCGGGCUGCAUUAGCUAGUUGGUAAGGUAACGGCUUACCAAGGCAACGAUGCAUAGCCGACCUGAGAGGGUGGUCAGCCACACUGGAACUGAGACACGGUCCAGACUCCUACGGGAGGCAGCAGUGGGGAAUCUUCCGCAAUGGGCGAAAGCCUGACAGAGCAACGCCGCGUGAGUGAUGAAGGUCUUCGGAUCGUAAAACUCUUUUGUUAGGGAAGCGGUACCUAAUCAGAAAGCCACGGCUAACUACGUGCCAGCAGCCGCGGUAAUAC
rnacentral:rRNA from 1 species